rnacentral:rRNA from 1 species
AGAGUUUGAUCAUGGCUCAGAAUCAACGCUGGCGGCGUGCCUAACACAUGCAAGUCGAACGCGAAAGUCCCGCAAGGGAUAAGUAGAGUGGCAAACGGGUGAGUAACACGUGGGUGACCUGCCUUCGAGCGGGGGAUAACGUCCCGAAAGGGACGCUAAUACCGCAUGACAUCCUGCCUUUGAAGAGGCGGAGAUCAAAGCCGGGGAUCGCAAGACCUGGCACUCGAAGAGGGGCCCGCGCCUGAUUAGCUAGUUGGUGGGGUAAUGGCUCACCAAGGCGACGAUCAGUAGCCGGCCUGAGAGGGCGGACGGCCACACUGGGACUGAGACACGGCCCAGACUCCUACGGGAGGCAGCAGUGGGGAAUUGUUCGCAAUGGGCGCAAGCCUGACGACGCAACGCCGCGUGGAGGACGAAGACCUUCGGGUCGUAAACUCCUUUCGAUCGAGACGAAUGGCCUUCGGGUGAACAAUCCGGAGGAAUGACGGUACCGAGAGAAGAAGCCCCGGCUAACUCCGUGCCAGCAGCCGCGGUAAUACGGGGGGGGCAAGCGUUGUUCGGAAUUACUGGGCGUAAAGGGCUCGUAGGUGGCCAACUAAGUCAGACGUGAAAUCCCUCAGCUUAACUGGGGAACUGCGUCUGAUACUGGAUGGCUUGAGUUUGGGAGAGGGAUGCGGAAUUCCAGGUGUAGCGGUGAAAUGCGUAGAUAUCUGGAGGAACACCGGUGGCGAAGGCGGCAUCCUGGACCAACACUGACACUGAUGAGCGAAAGCCAGGGGAGCAAACGGGAUUAGAUACCCUAGUAGUCC